GGGUCAGUAGGUUGGUCGUGCCACUGGUACGUACUGGUCUCACUGAUUCCUCCUUCCUGAAGAACCGUAAUGCCAUUAAUUUGGUGUUGCGGGGAAACAGGACUGUUACUUUGAAAAAAUUAGAGUGUUUAAAGCAAGCUAACGCUCGAAUACAUUAGCAUGGAAUAAUGAAAUAGGACGAUCGAUCCUAUUUUGUUGGUUUCUAGGAUUGACGUA
rnacentral:rRNA from 1 species